CUCUACAAAUUUCGGUCAGAGGCGGAGUCGAUUUCCAUUGGCCCAAUACUUCUGGAAAAACUCACUCGAAUGGAAAGACUUGGCUAAGCCAUUGGUACAGUGAAGAAUCUGUACAUCAAAUAAGUACCUUAACAUCACAUGAAGUGUAUAUACAAUGUAAGCCUAACCAAAAUAUAAUACAUAUAUAUAGAUUUCUAAUGUCUGAUUUAUGUUCUAAUUAAGUGUCUUAGCAAAACCUAGACGUUUAAGACGCCUCAAUGGUCUAGCUGGAAGUAAAUUUCUAGCCAGUAGGCUGCGAUGUCUUAGAAGUCUGUCGCUGUAACGGCUUGUGUGUCUAUUUAUCUGUUCUUCCACAGUAUGUAUGUUAAGGUCUCUAUGAAGAGUGGAGCCACGCACGUACCAGGGACAGCCUGUUAUGGUUCUCAGCAUUCGGUUCUGCAACACCUGGAUUCGCUUAUAGUUCGAUUUGGCGGCGAUCCCCCAAAUUUGUACACCAUAAAGCCACAUUGGCAGGAUGCAAUGAACAUAUACUGCCCUUUUGCACCUAAGCGGCAUGGUACUUGGUGAAAAUCGAAACUUUUUUUAUAUACUAAAUGCUGAAAAUUCAAAGAGACUAAUACAGAAUUUUAUUCCCAAGCA